GGCGCUGUGGCUUAGUUGCCUGUCUAGUAAACAGGAGAUCCUGGGUCCAAAUCCCAGCAGUGCCU
rnacentral:tRNA from 1 species